CCGUAGGUGAACCUGCGGAAGGAUCAUUACCUAGAGUUGUAGGCUUUGCCUACCAUCUCUUACCCAUGUCUUUUGAGUACCUUCGUUUCCUCGGCGGGUCCGCCCGCCGAUUGGACAAACUUAAACCCUUUGUAAUUGAAAUCAGCGUCUGAAAAAACAUAAUAGUUACAACUUUCAACAACGGAUCUCUUGGUUCUGGCAUCGAUGAAGAAAAACGCAGCGAAAUGCGAUAAGUAGUGUGAAUUGCAGAAUUCAGUGAAUCAUCGAAUCUUUGAACGCACAUUGCGCCCCUUGGUAUUCCAUGGGGCAUGCCUGUUCGAGCGUCAUUUGUACCUUCAAGCUCUGCUUGGUGUUGGGUGUUUGUCUCGCCUUUGCGUGUAGACUCGCCUUAAAACAAUUGGCAGCCGGCGUAUUGAUUUCGGAGCGCAGUACAUCUCGCGCUUUGCACUCAUAACGACGACGUCCAAAAAGUACUUUUUACACUCUUGACCUCGGAUCAGGUAGGGAUACCCCCC
rnacentral:misc_RNA from 1 species